AAAGGAAGUUCCCAAAGAGAAAGAGGAAGGAGACAGCUUGUACUUUCCCACGGCUGAAACCCAGAACUAGACAGACUUACACAGAGUUACACAAAUGGACCUACUCCCCAGCUGGUCCCCAUGCCAAGGGACAGAGUAGUCCCUGGAGAAGCCAAGAGAAAUGCCUGCUCCCUGUGGACAACUUGCUUCCAAGCAAGAAAAAGGAGGCACCAAGUCAGCCAAGAAGUCUAAUGAGAGAAACCUACCCCCCUUCACAGACCACCACCAUGAGGAAGUAGAAGGGUAGGGAAAGGCUGGUGCCAUUAUACUCUAAAGCUCCUUCCCUGCCCAGAGAAACAAACAUCAGGAAUAUGGAAGAGGCACCCCCUCUCCAAAGGCCUGCAGGACUUGUGCUAUGAAUUGGGAUGAAUUGCAUUAUCCUGCCACCUUAAUACACCAUCCCCUCUUGAAGAAAGUGGUGCUUCCACUACAUGACUGUUUGGGUGCUGUGGCCAAGAUCAGAACGUAGUCUAGAGUACCAGCUCAGCACCCAGUCUGUGGUUUGCAGAAAGUACAAGUCUAUGGCUUCACCCCUCCCCAGUUUCUGUGCACCCCCCAUACUUUCCAUCAGUAUCUCACCAUCUCUCUCCCUCCCCUACUCUCCUAUCACUUUCCUUUCUCCAAUCUUCUUUGCCUCUCCCCUCCUGCUCUCCUUUGUCUUCUGGCUUUGUCCCUCCAGCCCCAAGCAGGUCCUGGGGAAAGUUGCUCUGGAGCUGGUUCUGUGGGCUCUCUGGAACACCGGAGCAGGCCCUGAGCCCAGCAGAGAAGGCUGCGCUAGAACAGAAGCUGACAAGCAUUGAGGAGGAGCCACUCUGGAGACAUGUCUGCAACAUCAAUGCUGUCCUUUUGCUGGCCAUCAACAUCUUCCUCUGGGGCUAUUUUGCGUGAUUCCACAGACCUGGCUUCAGUGUAGACAGAUUAAACAAAGCCCAAGCCUGUCAGCCACAGAAACAGGCUCUCCUCUUACUUUGCUGUCUAAACUGGAGAUCACAGAAGUCAAGACUGCAAGCUCCCCUGAAGAGAAUCCAACUCAACCUGCACACUUGACAAGUGGAGAAACAGAAGCCCAGAGAGAGCACUGGGUUUGUUCAGGACCACCCAGAAGGUGUCACACGGGGUUUCCCCACUCUUUCUGAUAUAUUGCCUUACAGACCUACCUCAAACACACUGUUUCCACCCUCUUCUUGAAUGUAUUCAGUAGCCUUUACUGAAUGUGUGUCUUGAGAGUAGAAAAAUGGAGGAUACAAGAAAAGGAGCAGGAAGAAAUUUGCAAAAAUCCAAGAGCACCUUUGCUCCCCCUUAUCCUCCUUCCUCUUCCCCUUUCUAGUUCCCCUACCUCUCUAUCUUUCUAUUCUCACCAAUAAUCUCUUUGUUGCAUGAAUUUACCCAGGAGAGUCCUAUAUUUCCAUUGGUGGCUCCACAGUGGUGGCUGUCAGACCCGAAGGGGUGGGGAGCCAAGGGUGGACUUUAAGCAUGGUGACAGAUGGUAUUUUGGGCAGAAAGCUCUUAGACAAUGGACUAUCCAAAGCACUAUUUAAAUUCUGCCUCUUCCUACUCUCUAACCCAAAUAUGCACAAACUCUCUAUGGCCUUGAGAAGCAGUUGGAGAGACAUGACUUGUUAAAACCUCAAGGAAUCAAGACAUGUUACUCUGUAUUUAAGGGUAAGCCCCACAGCGGGCAGCACAAACAGCCUGGGAGCCACUGUGCCUGUGCUUCUCUGUCCUUCUCCCUUUGCUUGCCAUGAAUCCGCAUACCUUGGAAUACACUGUGACCCCAGUUAAGUGUCCCUUCGCCAGGAAGCUGCCGCAACGUCCAGACCUGGGUCAAGUUCCCACUCCUGCUCCCAUAGCCUUGACCUGCUUCUGUCACAGCACUGAUCACACUGAGAUGGAAGACUCCAGGGGGCAAGGACCAAGGGCCAUAUCCCAAGUGACUUUGUACCCAGAAAAUAACAGCUGUUCAAUAAAUGUGUAUUGAGUUAAUUAGUUCUCCAUGGUCCUGGUAGACUUUGUGCUGCAGCUGGCUGGGUAGUGACUUGGAGUGUUAGCUGUUAGGGGUGAGUCUCCUUCACUUGGAGUUUAAGUAACUGAGUCUCAGACACCUAGAGUGGGAUCACAGCCCCAGCCUACUGACAGACACCAGG
rnacentral:lncRNA from 1 species